GGGUCCGGUGCGUCGCCGAUUUCCUGAAAGGACCGGGGGAAAGAACUCCUACCCGCCCGCCCUCCCCGCGCGUGCGCGGCGCCUCACUCGUACGGGUGAGGGGCUUGCACGGCGCUCGCGGAGACGGUUACGUUCGCCGCGACAACCGCACACAGAACGGCCCCCGCCGGGACGGCAAUCCCGGACGAGGGCCUGACCAACCAGGAAGCAAACCCUUCCCG
rnacentral:ncRNA from 1 species